GAUGAAGAACGUAGCGAAAUGCGAUACGUAAUGUGAAUUGCAGAAUUCAGUGAAUCAUCGAAUCUUUGAACGCAUAUUGCGCUCUUUGGUAUUCCGAAGAGCAUGCUUGUUUGAGUAUCAGUAAACACCUCAACCUCUUCUUGAUUUUUCAAAAGGAGGGGGGACUUGAGCUAUCCCAACAACCUUUACCGGUCGGCGGGCGGCUUGAAAUGCAGGUGCAGCUGGACUUUUAUCUGAGCUAAAAGCAUAUCUAUUUAGUCCUCGUCAAACAGGAUUAUUACUUUUGCUGCAGCUAACAUAAAGGAUAAUUGUCCUCUUUGCUGACUGAUGCAGUAUUUUACGACACUUUAUGUGUUGUUCAACUCGAUCUCAAAUCAAGUAAGACUACCCGCUGAACUUAAGCAUAUCAAUAAGCGGAGGA
rnacentral:misc_RNA from 1 species